rnacentral:rRNA from 1 species
GACGAACGCUGGCGGCGUGCCUAAUACAUGCAAGUAGAACGCAGUUGCGAACGGGUGAGUAACGCGUAGGUAACUGCCUGGUAGCGGGGGAUAACUAUUGGAAACGAUAGCUAAUACCGCAUACUACCAGAUGGACCUGCGUUGUAUUAGCUAGUUGGUGGGGUAAUGGCCUACCAAGCCGACGAUCUCUAGCUGGUCUGAGAGGAUGACCAGCCACACCGGGACUGAGACACGGCCCGGACUCCUACGGGAGGCAGCAGUGGGGAAUAUUGCGCAAUGGGGGCAACCCUGACGCAGCCAUGCCGCGUGAAUGAAGAAGGCCUUCGGGUUGUAAAGUUCUUUCGGUGACGAGGCGUUAAUCACAGAAGAAGCACCGGCUAACUCCGUGCCAGCAGCCGCGGUAAUUC